rnacentral:rRNA from 1 species
AUUGAACGCUGGCGGCAGGCUUAACACAUGCAAGUCGAACGAGUGGCGGACGGGUGAGUAAUGUCUGGGAAACUGCCUGAUGGAGGGGGCUAACUACUGGAAACGGUAGCUACUACCGCAUACCAUCAGAUGUGCCCAGAUGGGAUUAGCUUGUAGGUGGGGUAACGGCUCACCAAGGCGACGAGCCCUAGCUGGGCUGAGGGGAUGAUCAACCCUACUGGAAGUGAGACAAGGUCCAGACUGCGACGGGAGGGAGCAGUGGGGAAUAUUGCACAAUGGGCGCAGGCCUGAUGCAGCCAUGCCGAGUGUAUGAAGAAGGCCUUGGGGUUGUAAAGUACUGUCAGCGGGGAGGCGUUACCCGCAGAAGAAGCACCGGCUAACUCCGUACCAGCAGCCGCGGUAAUAC